ACAGGGCAGAGAUGGAUAGGGAAGGGAGUGUGAUGUGACGAGGCCGCAGAGAGCUCAGCCCCCAGGAUGGACGGGAAACCCUGGGUCACCGUUCUUGGAGGGGGACAUCAGUGCCUGGCACAUAGUAGAUGCCCAAAGAACAUCUGCUGACUGACCUCACCUAAAGCAUUUGGGCAGUUACCCACAGGUGCUCCAUGACACCUUCUGGCCAGCAGAAAGGACCUGCAGCCAAGUGCUCUGGUGGCUGCUACUGAACACCAACCGCUACUCUCAGCCUUGGGGGUGACAGGAAAGAAUGGGACCGCAGUGAUUGAAACUUAUUUGGGGCAGGAAGCUUGGCCUGGAUGACCUGAGGGGCAGUCAUGUCCUCUGGCCCACCCAGUCUUCACUUCUCACCUCCUCACCCCCCGCCCUCUGGAGGGCAGCUCCUAUCUCUCCUGGGUUAGCCUCAGAGUUCGGCGAGGGGAGGCACUGUUUGGGGCUACAGUCCUGGGCCCGGCGUUGCUUGCCAGUGAGAUGUCUGAUGCCAGGGGGGUGCCAAGGAGCAGCAAGCCUGGGGACUUGGGGAGAAACUCUAAACAGAGUCUCCUGGGCUUUGGGGGCAAGGGAUGCUGCAGACCCUGAGUGGCCCCCCCCUUGGUAUUCAGGACAGAGGCUUCUGAGUUGCUCUGAGGGUACAUCGAAGCUCAGAUUCUCCAGGGGUAAGAGAUUCUUUCAGCCAUUGCUGCAGGAACCCCAACUCAGUCAGUCCCACCAAAGAAGCAAAGAGGCAGGAGCGGCAGCCUCUGGGUGGGCCCCUAUUGAGGGGCAGCCAGGGCCUGCCUGGGGGUUGUGUUAGAGCCUGGAUGGCACUCAUGAGCCACCUGUGGGGUGGUGGCCCCUGGACUUCCAACUGCAGAAUGUGCCUCUGUAUCCCAAUGCCAAAAGCGGGGUGCCUCACCCUGACACAUGCUGUGGCUCGCCCUCCCAGGGCCAUGACAUGCCACAGAGCCACUGCACCAUGGCACGAAGCAGCAACAGGUGACACGGGAGGCUGCCAGGUCACCCCACCUGCAGGAUCCCUGUGAUGUACCUCCUUCCACGAGUCACCACACCCAUCCCCAAGCAGCCCCACAUCCAUCCCCCAUGGCGGUGCAGGCAGGUGGGGAGCACAGCCCAGCCCACCGCAGGGUGAACUGAUGCAGGCAGAGGGGAAUGCUCCACAUCCCCGCUGUCCCCUGCCCUGUCCUGUCCUGCCCACGGUCCCUCUGCAUCCUGACCCUCUGCAGUAUGCUCCCUCUCCCUGUCCCCUCUCUCCCCAUCGCCAACUUAAUUCCUUAAUUCCUACUGGAGAUAAGCGGAUCUUUCACUGAAAUUUAUCAUUAAUCCUAAGGAAAACAGGGGUGGGAAGGGGGUGGGGGUGGGAAAGGGAUAGAGGGAGGUGGGGAAGCUUGGAGGGCCCACCCACACUGCCUCCUCCUAGAUCUGGGACAGCUGUGGUGGCUGGGAAUCCUAGGCUGACAUCCCUGGGCGUGGCAGCCCACAUAUGGAGCUGUUACUGGGGAUCUGAGGGGAGCACCUGAGAUGGUGAGGUGUGUGAGACUCAGGAGAGGUGAGACGGGGGCCGAGGCUGUCUGUAAAUGCCUGCAGGAUCACAUGAGCUCCAUGCGAUUCCAACACUAAUGGGAGGGAGCUUCAGGGGGAAGGGGGAGCUGGGGGCAGUCAGGGCUGUCCUGGCUUCCAUGGAGGGUGGUGAGUACCCUGUCAGUGGAGGGAUUCAGCUGCAGCUGGAGGAUGACCAACAGGCCAGAAUGUGGUUAGGGGUUUUAGGAAGUGAAUGGGGUGCUACAGCAUUUGAUUUCCCUUCCAAUGCUAAGACUCCAGGAUUCUCUGACAUCCUCUCCACCUUCCCCUGCAGGGCAGGGAGGUACCUUCAGCUGCAGGCCCAGCUGGGAGGCUCUUUCCAGACCUGGGUCUGGGAGAGGAACAAGUGGGCUCAGGUUAGUUUUUUAUUUUUAUUUUUUUUUAAGAUGGAGUUUCACUCUUGUUGCCCAGGCUGGGGUGCAAUGGUGUG
rnacentral:lncRNA from 1 species